AUUAGUGGCGAACGGGUGAGUAACACGUGAGUAACCUGCCCUUGACUCUGGGAUAACUGCUAGAAAUGGUAGCUAAUACCGGAUACGACCCUCGGAGGCAUCUCCAGGGGGUGGAAAGAAUUUCGGUCAAGGAUGGACUCGCGGCCUAUCAGCUAGUUGGUGAGGUAAUGGCUCACCAAGGCGACGACGGGUAGCCGGCCUGAGAGGGUGACCGGCCACACUGGGACUGAGACACGGCCCAGACUCCUACGGGAGGCAGCAGUGGGGAAUAUUGCACAAUGGGCGAAAGCCUGAUGCAGCAACGCCGCGUGAGGGACGAAGGCCUUCGGGUUGUAAACCUCUUUUAGUAGGGAAGAAGCGAAAGUGACGGUACCUGCAGAAAAAGCACCGGCUAACUACGUGCCAGCAGCCGCGGUAAUACGUAGGGUGCAAGCGUUGUCCGGAAUUAUUGGGCGUAAAGAGCUCGUAGGCGG
rnacentral:rRNA from 1 species